UAUUAAUAAGCGGAGGAAAAGGAAUUAACAAAGAUUCCCCCAGUAACGGCGAGUGAAGUGGGAUUUAGCCCAGCACCGAAUCCUAGCGGCCGAAGUGUCGCGUGGACCUGUGGUGUUAGGGGCCCCGGACUUCGUCCUGCUCGUGGCGCCUCAGUUUCAUUGAAAGGGCUGUUGCUCCAGAGCGGGUGUCAGACCCUUGUGCGGCGCACGUGCGGGUGAAGUUCCCAGGGGCCCUACGAGUCGGGUUGUUUGAGAGUGCAGCCCAAAGACGGUGGUAAGCUCCAUCGAAGGCUAAACACUGCCACGAGUCCGAUAGCGAACAAGUACCGUGAGGGAACGUUGAAAAGGACUUCGAAGAGAGAGUUCAAGAGUACGUGAAACCGCCUAAAGGGAAAC
rnacentral:rRNA from 1 species